AACGAACGCUGGCGGCAUGCCUAACACAUGCAAGUCGAACGAGACCUUCGGGUCUAGUGGCGCACGGGUGCGUAACGCGUGGGAACCUGCCCUUAGGUUCGGAAUAACUCCCCGAAAGGGGUGCUAAUACCGGAUAAUGUCUUCGGACCAAAGAUUUAUCGCCUUUGGAUGGGCCCGCGUUGGAUUAGCUAGUUGGUAGGGUAAGAGCCUACCAAGGCGACGAUCCAUAGCUGGUCUGAGAGGAUGAUCAGCCACACUGGGACUGAGACACGGCCCAGACUCCUACGGGAGGCAGCAGUGGGGAAUAUUGGACAAUGGGCGAAAGCCUGAUCCAGCAAUGCCGCGUGAGUGAGGAAGGCCUUAGGGUUGUAAAGCUCUUUUACCCGGGAUGAUAAUGACAGUACCGGGAGAAUAAGCUCCGGCUAACUCCGUGC
rnacentral:rRNA from 1 species